GCUGCCCCUCGAGGCGUUGCAGGCGCGGCUGGCGUGCCCCGCCUGUGUCAGCAGGUGGCGGAGAGGACGCGGCUAUGUCUACGCUCGGCGCUCUGGCCCGUGAGCGCCCGAAUGAUUAGUAGCCGGACACG